rnacentral:lncRNA from 10 species
CUCGGGGCUGCGAUGCCCCUUAGGUUGCGGGCAACCAGAGGCCUCACUCGUGGGCAGGAAGCAAGGGCGGACCCCGAGAGAUGACUGAUUGUGGGGGUGGGGACCGUCUGCUCCUCCUAAUGGCUGGGGACCGUGCACGUCUGCGCGGGCCGGACCUGCUCUUCUCGGGAACUUGCGCGGGAGGAGGCCCGGAGCUGCGCCGCUUUACCCUCUGCUCCCCGGUGCCUAAAACGCACACGCAUCAAAGUCACAGGACGAGUUAGAGAUACCUUCUCUCAUGAUGGAGACUUUAUCUUUUGCUCCUUGCCUCCCACCCAUAUUGAAGAGACUAUCAGAAAGCAGACAGGAAGCUCCACAGACAGGCGGGGCUGCUUUAACAGUACGCUUUGCUCGAGGGUGAAGAGGGCGAGAACCAGCUAUCAGGUAAAAAGUUCUGAAAUGCCAGAAUAAAGCAGCCCUUGCUGCAGAGCAAAAUACAUCAGAUUCCCUUGUCCCCUGA